AACUUUAAAGCCAGCACAGACUUAGAAUUCUUAGGACAUCCACAAUCUAAACAUCUGUAUAACCAGAGAGGCUCUGAAAUGCCAUUACUCAUUUUGAAAAACAGACCCGAUUAGUUCCAAUCUUUUGAGCUCACAACAUUUUAAGUUGCAACAUUAAACCGGUGCCCUGUAUGGAACUGCUACCAACUUGCUCUCACCAAAUGUCAAAUACUCAUAAGGAACAGAGGACUUUAAAUUUUCCAUAUAGUUUAAGAUCAAAUAAAGCACAGAAACGACUGAAAAACAAGUCUAGCACCUAGAAGAAAUGAGGAGAUGGAAAGGUGGUUGAAUUAAGAGGAAGUCUCAGUGAGACACUUGUUAUUCAUGGGAAAAACAUAAUACUAGGUUUUACGGAUGACAGGCUGUAAGUACGUGUUUGAAAGUGCACGUUUGAAAUAGAACUAUCCUACAACCCAGCAACUGCACUAUGAGGACAAAUGGGUUACUUAACUGAUGAUGGUAGGGGGCCAGAGUGAGAAAAGGAAACAUGUCCGAAGUGACCCUGUAUCUUCUUCACUCGGUCCACAGUUUACCGACCAAAGUAUGCGGAAAAGGAAAGCAGUGGUAAACAGGUCCUUCAGGUUUUGAUUAUGCAAGACAAGCAGCUGGAAACUCACCAUCAGCAAGAGAGGCAGCUUCAGGACAACUGAGACUUUCCCUGUACUCAACUUCUACAUGUUGGAUCUAGACAAUGUUUGCAUAUCUCUCAGUCUAAAGAUACAUUCUAUUCUUAUCCGAGUUUAACAGAUGGGGGAAAAUGGGCACAGAGAGACUAUAUAAUUUGCCUAAGGACUCACACAAGUGUCAGACCUGAAUUUGAACCUAGACUCACCCCUAAAGUCCAGAGGCUACACUUUCUAGCUUCAUGAUGAAUACUGAAAAUGUCCCAUUGAUUCAAUUUAUAUUAAACCACUUAUUUAUGUAA